UUUUCAUCUCGCUGACAAAAAAUUAAUUUUAGCUUCCUAUUAUGUCAUACAAACAAUAUUUCUGUUACCUCUUCCUCUCACGUUGCUGUCAGCCCAGGUUGAAUAUUGAUUCCCAGACCACACGGAAGAGGAAACCCACACGGCGAAGUUCAGAAGCGUCCUGUUAGCGUAAAUGGCCGUUAAACCAGAAAGCUCCUACAUGCCGGAGCCCGGAGCUCCACUUCGCAGGUUUUUACCCUCAAGUCGCGCUGAUUAUCCUGGGAUGACAGGUUUAAAAGGAGAAGAAGCCUCAUCUGUUGAUCUUCAUCUGUUGCUAAGUGCCUGUUGCCAGGUUGUGAAAGACCACUCUGUCUAUCCUGAGGCAAUCCAAGGGUCAGUACAGGUCUUCCUGACUCCAAACUAUGCCAUCCCAUGAGCAUUGUUAAGAGUAUUCGGAAUUCCGAAACAGCAUUUGCUUGAUUGUCUGAUGCUUCAGAAACAAUUCAACAUGCCUCAAUAAAGAACAACUUUGUCCUCA
rnacentral:lncRNA from 1 species